rnacentral:rRNA from 1 species
UAAUACGGAGGGUGCAAGCGUUGUUCGGAAUUACUGGGCUUAAAGCGCGUGUAGGCGGGAUGCCAAGUGUCGUGUGAAAGCCCCGGGCUCAACCCGGGAAUUGCGCGGCAAACUGGUGUUCUUGAGGCAAGUAGAGGUGACUGGAACGACCGGUGGAGCGGUGAAAUGCGUAGAUAUCGGUUGGAACGCCGGAGGCGAAAGCGGGUCACUGGGCUUGUCCUGACGCUAAGACGCGAAAGCGUGGGGAGCAAACAGGAUUAGAUACCCUGGUAGUCCACGCCGUAAACGAUGCGCACUAGGUCUGAGAGGCUCUCACGCCCCUCGUGCCGAAGCAAAAGUGCUAAGUGCGCCGCCUGGGGAGUACGGCCGCAAGGCUA